UACAGACUGUAGCAGUGAGAGGUUGAAGAUGGUGGUGAAAACCUCUGCUAGUUGGUCUGCACAUGCUUUAAGCACUCUACCAGCUACACCUAGUAAGGAAGAGGAAUGUAAAAAGUAACUUGACUCAGAGUGUUCUGCGACGUCGCCCUCUGAGGAGCGCCAUCUUUGGAGCGCCAUCUUUGGAGGUUGGUGAUGAUGAAGCUGGCGAUGAUCUGGUGCAGCUGGUCUCGGGGAAUAAAGAAAACGCUAUCUGGGGCUGUUUGCUAGAUCCAGCUUGGUGACUUAUACAGAGUGAGAGACACCCUGAACCAAAACAGCUACCACAGCAUUCUGCAGCACCAUGCAGUACCCUCUGCUAUGGAUCUAGUUGGUCAGGGGUUCAUUAUCUACAGCAAGAUAAUGACCCAGAAAAUAAGUCCAAGCUGUGCCAGAACUACCUCAGGAAAAAAGAAGAAGAUGGUGAGCUUGAAAACAUGGAGUGUCCAGCAGUCUCCAGACUUGAACCCCAUCGAGCUGGUUUAGGAUGAACUUGUCAAGGUUUCAGUGAGUGCUGGGUUUUUUCCAUUGUACCAGUGUUUCCACCUCGGGGUGGAGCCGUCAUUCUACUCGCAUUGGUAACACCUGUGUGUAAUCAGCCCGCUGGGAUUUAAGACCAGAGCUCACAAUCAUUCCUCGCGAGAUCGUCUGCUAACAUCAGUCAGUGAAGGUUGUCACAGUCCAAGCGUCUAACCAUUGCUAUGUUGAGUUGACCGUGUUUCUCUCUGCUCUCAGUAACCUUUUGGAUUCCUGCACUGCUGUUGGUAAUUCAGCCGUUGGUCUGCUCACAGUUUUCACUGUUUACUCACCUGCCUGCCUCCCUGCACGGUUCACAGUCAUGUCACGCGGGGCAGACCGAGUGAAGACGUGACCUCCUGUAAUAAACUUCACAUCGGGUCUCCGAGUUUUGUCUGCGAUUGAGUCCACUCCAUCAUGUUUGGCCGCACGGACGUCACAGACCUGGACAGAAGAGUGCAAGCAAAGCAACCUACAAGUUCCACAUUUAUGGGAACUUCUGGGAGAAUAUUUGAUUGCUAUUGCAGAAAGAAUGGCACGGGUGUGUUCAGCUGUUAUAUUUGCCAAAGGGGGCUACUUUGAUGACUCAAAGUUUAGAAUAUACAUUUUGGUCUAUAAAUUGAUUCCAGGAUUUCUUAACUCGAGUUGUUUAUUUGUACCAUGCUUUCAUUUCAGAGUGCAAUGAGACAUUAAACUGCAUCAUUUUCAAUAAACAACUGGAAAAAGGUAAAGGACCCAAACGCAGGACUCAAAACAGGGAGGUUAAAAUUAAAGCGCAGCUUUAUUGCUAGGGAAAACUCUUAAUAAAUUAAACUCCCCAAAAAACAAAACAAAACUCUGAACAGAGGAACUAAGGACUGAAACGCAGGAACAGAAAAACUAAACAGGAGCAUGAGACAAAACACACAGCAUGUACAGGAUAGCAAACAUUAAUGAUGCGACAAAGGGCAAAGGCAAACACAGGGGGCUGAAAUACACAGUGGAGCAAUCCGGGAAUAGGAAACAGGAGGAAGACACAGCUGGGAGAGAUUAGGGCUAACGAGACGGGGGGAAGUAAAA